UCUCUUGAGAGCGGAGGACGGGUGAGUAAUGCCUAGGAAUCUGCCUGGUAGUGGGGGAUAACGUUCGGAAACGGACGCUAAUACCGCAUACGUCCUACGGGAGAAAGCAGGGGACCUUCGGGCCUUGCGCUAUCAGAUGAGCCCAGGUCGGAUUAGCUAGUUGGUGGGGUAAUGGCUCACCAAGGCGACGAUCCGUAACUGGUCUGAGAGGAUGAUCAGUCACACUGGAACUGAGACACGGUCCAGACUCCUACGGGAGGCAGCAGUGGGGAAUAUUGGACAAUGGGCGAAAGCCUGAUCCAGCCAUGCCGCGUGUGUGAAGAAGGUCUUCGGAUUGUAAAGCACUUU
rnacentral:rRNA from 1 species